rnacentral:piRNA from 1 species
UCUGCUUCCAGGCGCUCCUAAGGGGUCAGA